UCCCUGGUGGUCCAGUGAUUAGAACGCAGUGCUUUAACACUGUGGCCCGGGUUCAAUCCCUGGUUUGGGAA
rnacentral:tRNA from 1 species